GCAGCAGGGACAUUAAUGGAGCGCUAAAUAGAACAGCAGGGAGGCAAAUGGAGCCACAGUCAGCAAAGAACAAAAAAUGAGGAAAAAAACCUGGUGAACCACUUCUUCCUCUCCUCAGCACUGAACUACAUGAAGAGAAUUCCAGCUGACAUCGGAAGAUACAUGCAUUAGGAUUUCAUCCUGCCCUGACUCAUGCCAGCAACAACCUACCAUCAGCUAAAAGUGUGACCUUUCUCUGGGAGGGCUCCUCAGCCUGACAAGAGCUUUGACAUGAUAAAUGUUGGAGAGCUGCUGCUGCUAUCAAAACUGACCAGCAGGACCACAACUGGAAAGAAAAAGAGGCAGAAGAUCAGGACAAAAGUAGUAAAUACUUACAGGAUUUCAUGGGGCAUGUGGAAGAAGACUUUUCUCAAGCAGAGACAGAAUGAUGUCUAACCAUGUCAGCUGAUUGGCAGAAUUCUGACAGAUGUCACAUACAUUUUAGCAGAAGGAUCCAUUGCUGUUUAUGUCACCACAUUACUGCUCACAACACAAAAGAGCAGCAACUUUUCCAGUCAUCACCUAAAGCUGUGGUGGAUACAUUUUGUAAGUAAGCAGGACAAAAUCUCAUGUACAGCCAAGUAUAGCACCCUGAAAGAAGAGGACAAAUAAUGACAAUUCUGAUGACAAGGAAACAUCACUGGCAGGAAGAAAUGUGCAAUCAUGUUACUUUCCAGCUGGUCUCUUCAGACCAUGAUGCUCCUGGAUUUUCUCUUGUGUACAAGGUGACAUUGACUUGUCUGAUCUAAUUGCUCAACUUAAGUAAAAAAGCUGAUGGAGUAUUUCAGCUUUUCUGUUAUCCAGCUUGUUACUGAAGCAUUUCAAUAUGCCUCUAUAACUGUAUGUUAUUUGUGCUAUUCCUGUUUAUUGUUUACCCCCCAGAUGUAACUGUUACUCUGAUAAAACUGUUC
rnacentral:lncRNA from 1 species